UAUGGAUUUUUUUACAGUGUAAUAAUAAUGAUUGUAUUUGUAAACCGCACUAGUUAGGCAUUAGGUAACAAUGAUAUUAAUCUUUGUUAUUUUAGUAGUAAAUGUUAACUAUAUUGAAUGUGCUAUAUAAACAUGGAUGGAUCAAUGAAGAAGAUUAAUGUAAAUGCUGAAAAACUCUAUUCUAAUUUAAUACAAAUAUUUUAUUGUGUGAUUUUUGUAAUUUUAAUUUGUAAAGGUGUAACUUCCAUAAAACUAACACUGCUUAUUUUUAAUUUAUCCUUAGACGAGCUGACCGGAUGCCCAGUGUCCAUUCUCGCAUCUGCAGCUGUCAUUUUCCUGCAGGGGAUAAAAUGUCCCCGUUUUGUUUAUAUCCACAAAUGAUGUUCCCACUGGACAAAUUUUGGAAGAUCAUUCAUACUCCCUGAGACAGGAUAGUAUGGGGCUCAUGUGCCUAAAAAUGUUCCACCACCCAUUUAUAAAGAGGAGGAAAUGGCUACAAUUUUCAAAGAUGAUGAACCAUCUCCGGCUGAUCAAACCCUCACUAUCAAUUCUGAGGAACAACCAAAUAGAAGCACAACUAAAGAAGAGCUGCAGUCUGGACGAAGAAGAAGAAUUCAGCUUGAGAUUGAGUUAGCGCAUUCCAUAACAGAGAUUCAACUUCUCAAAGACUAACUCCAAAGGCAAACGAGUAACUGUCAUGACAGGUAUUCAGCCUUUCAGAUGAGUGAAAGUGUGAUUCGAAUGGAGACAGGAUUGCCAGAUAGAGAUACUUUCAGUGCUGUGUGUGAAUAUGUUGCUCAUUUUGAGGAUUCCAUUACGUACUUUGCUGGAUGGAGGAGACCCAAAGAAAUCAUCCUUGAGGACCUUGAUUAAAAUUCACCACAACUAUACACACUUGCACUUGCAUUUUCCAUGUGGGCAUUCACAUAGUGUUGCAAAAAUACCUUCUUUCCCUGUAGAGACUUGUCAUUUGAAUUAUAUAGUAUAUAGUUUGUUUUCAGUUUACUUUUUUAUGAAAAUAAAGAUGUUUACUACAAAACUUGCUGCAAUGUUUCUGUGGAUCAGUGAUUGGAGCAUUUUGUUAACUUUUGUUUAAUUUUCAGUUUACUUUUUUAUGAAAAUAAAGAUGUUUACUACAAAACUUGCUGCAAUGUUUCUGUGGAUCAGUGAUUGGAGUAUUUUGUUAACUUUUGUUUAAUUCCCAGAGAACACGCUGAUAUCUAUAGCUUGAAUGCACUGUAAGUCACUUGUCUAACAAAUACCAAAAAUUAAAUGUUAAACUAUUGUAACUAUACACCAGUCAGCUGAGCUCACAGUAAUGUGAGAUUAAAUUUACUACACAGGCUCUCACAUUGGGGCUUGUGGAUUACCAGGUAAAAAUAUAUAGAAAAUGUGAACAAAAUUAGUAUAUAUGGUUUAAUUAUAAUAUAUUGUAUUUAAGCAUUGAUGCUAUUGGACAAUUCUCUUUAAAUUCAACAUAUAUAAUUAUAUAUAACUAUUAUAUUAAAUGUUUGGAAUUAAACUGUGUUCUGUUUGUUCAGAGAUCUUAUAAAUACAUAGAAAACUUUAUUUAACUCUUCUAUCUCUCCAUAGUUUUACUUAAUGAGACUUGAUAAACCUUGUCCCUCAUGCUGGCCCUUACAAUAUCGGUAAGUAAACCAGCAUCUAAGCUGCACUGUUAUGUCCAGAUUUAUAGUGGUUCUCUCUCCUCGAUCUAUGGUUUUCUGUCGUCUAAGUAAGAAAAAGUACAUAAGAUUGGAAAUUGAUACGGCAAUAGCUAGUGCUUCUGAGAUGUUUUUUUUUCUGGCGAAUUAGCAAAUGGUAUGCAAACAUACAAUCAAACAAUGCAGUGAAAGAUAAUCAUUAAAGAGCACCAAUUAUGCUAAUAAAUUAGCACGUUAGCACGUUAUUGUAAUAUCCCAUAGUACAUACAUGUUAUUAAAACUUGAACUAAUGCACUGUGAGUCUUAUAAAUUGCUUACAUACCUCACCGAUUUCUGCAUGUCUGGAAAACGCUCGGUAUAGUUCCUGUCUCCGCCUCCCAAAAUGUCUAGUGUAUUCGGAUUGGUCAGAUGACUACUCAACUGUUAUUGGUCAACUGGGUUCGGCGUGUGUUUGAAAGGUUACGCCCCUGACUACGCGUGGAUUUUCCGGUUCUGACUGAGAGUCACAGGCAACGUAAACAAGCGCUAUAUUUCUCUAUAAACGAUGGUGUCUGUACUGCCUUACCACUUCAAGCUCGAUCCAGAGAGUUCAGACGGCCGUUACGAUGUAAACGAUCUCCGUCAAUGAAUGCGAUUGGAUUUAACUUUUUUAGGUGUCCUUAGCUCUGCCAGAAUGCUAAACGAAGACGAAAAUGUGUUGCAAAGACAUCCAAAAGGUAAUUAUAACGUACUACAUUACUUUGCAAACUAUAUGGAAACACCAAAUGUAGCACAUAGAAGGUUUUAUUUGAAAUGAUUAUAAAACUAUUUCACUUAUUAACAUUAUUUUACUAUAGUAAACUUUAUUAUAAAAGACCGCUUACAUACUAUAUUACUGUGCAAACUAUAUGGAAACACCAAAUGUAGCACAUAGAAAGUAUUUGUUGAAAUGAUUAUAAAACUAUUUCACUUAUUAACAUUAUUUUACUAUUGUAAACUUUAUUAUAAAAGACUGUUACAUACUAUAUUACUGUGCAAACUAUAUGGAAACACCAAAUGUAGCACAAAGAAAGUAUUAAUUGAAAUGAAUGUUCUACGUUAUUUCACUAUGGUAAAGUUUAUUAUGAAAAACUGCUUACUUAUAAGUGCUAUGUUUUUACUUAUUAGGUUUUAAGGAGAAUGCAACAGGUUCCAGGGCCUCUUACCUGCGUGAUUCAUCAUCCAGGUUUUGCACAAAUUGUCUAAAUCCCUACACACAGAACAUUUAUUGUACCGACUAUAAGCCUUUGAGGUGCAGGACUAGAAUACGCUUGGAGCUUCCUGAUCAGAUCGGUCACAAUUUUGGCUUCCGACGACCCCUGCACUGAAGAUGGCAUGCAAUCACGUCCUCCUUUGAAGGUCUCUCAAACUGUGAUGCCAGGUCCAUUGGAAUCGGGGUUUCCUUCAGCUUAUCUUCAAAUACCUCAUCAAACACAAGCCUGAUCACAUCAUCCACAUAACUGUAGAAAUAUUGCAGUCAAUAAAUCUUUUGUUUUGAUCAUUUAUUUCCCUGCUUCAUACAUUAAGUUUUUAAUUAUGAAUGUAUUUGAAAUAAAACAUUACUGCUUA